GAGGUUUUCAGUCAAAUUAUAACUAAUAUCCGUAUAACUUUGCAUGAAGUGGUAGGUUUUAGCCACUUAAUUAGUUAUUUGAUCUAAUUUCAACUGAAUUUUUCAAUUUUAUACCAUUUGAAAUGGUUUUUAAUAUUCAACCAAAAGGGAAUUUAUUUUGCAUUUGACAUUCGAUUUCUAAAAUUAGUACUACUUGUUCAAAGAACCGUCAAAUUUAGAAAAAAAGCGUAUAGCGAAAUCGUGUAUAUCGAGUAUGGCGUAUAUCGGGGAAUACCUGUAUAGGAACACGAGGAAGGCGCUGCUUCGCGUUCACAUGAAAAUGUGGUAGUGUGAAAUCAAGUUUGCAAGCGGUAGGACGCGUCGGUGUGUGUCCGUUUUUUCUCUCGUGAAACCAGUACGGAAAAACUAUUUGGUAAGUACAGUUUUUAAUAAAGGGUUAUAUCAAUCUUUAUCAAACUGAAUUGUAUUGAUAAUUGUGAUAUAAAAUCAAUUUCGUUUUUUUUUAAAGAAAUCGUAACACACGCACGAACGGAAGUGAGCACGGACCACAACAGAAGCAAUAUUCAAUUGGUUGGAGUGCCGAAAACAGAACAGGAGAGGAAAGAAGGCAGGAACGAUCCGAUCCUCCAACGUGCUAGCGCCUGGUAGAGGAGAAGCGGCAGGAAGGUAGAGACGAACAUCCAGCUCGCUAGUGCAGCACGUGGGAGCAGCAAGAGGG